CAGGUACCUGCACAUGCUGUUCUUUGUCAGUGCUGUCAAGUGUGUGCCAGGGUGAUCCAUGGUCACUUUCCGGGAUGGCAGCAAGGUGACUUCGGCUGAGGAUGACCCUGACUGAAAGGCUGCGUGAGAAGAUAUCUCGGGCCUUCUACAACCAUGGGCUCCUCUGUGCAUCCUAUCCCAUCCCCAUCAUCCUCUUCACGGGGUUCUGCAUCUUAGCCUGCUGCUACCCACUGCUGAAACUCCCCUUGCCAGGAACAGGACCUGUGGAAUUCACCACCCCUGUGAAGGAUUACUCGCCCCCACCUGUGGACUCUGACCGCAAACAAGGAGAGCCUACUGAGCAGCCUGAGUGGGUGGGUACUCGUCAUGUUCCUGAGGCCAGCACAGAGCAUUGGGUGGAGACUGGCUGAGGCAGGGGUCUGCCAGUGAGAUUGAGGUUGGUCAGCUUCUGAUUUGUGAAUUCAUGUACUUUAACAGCUUUAUCAGUGUACCAUAUAGAUACUUAGUU
rnacentral:sRNA from 1 species